AAUCAACGCUGGCGGCGUGCCUAACACAUGCAAGUCGAACGCGAAAGCCCGCAAGGGUAAGUAGAGUGGCGCACGGGUGAGUAACACGUGGACAACCUGCCUUCGAGUGGGGAAUAACCUUCCGAAAGGAGGGCUAAUACCGCAUAACACCUCGGGACACAAGUUCUGGGGUUGAAAAGAGCAAUUUGCUCGAAGAGGGGUCCGCGCCUGAUCAGCUAGUUGGUGAGGUAACGGCUCACCAAGGCUUCGAUCAGUAGCCGUCCUGAGAGGGAGCACGGCCACACUGGAACUGAGACACGGUCCAGACUCCUACGGGAGGCAGCAGUGGGGAAUCUUGCGCAAUGGGCGAAAGCCUGACGCAGCGACGCCGCGUGAGGGAUGACGGCCU
rnacentral:rRNA from 1 species